rnacentral:tRNA from 1 species
GUCCAGGGAUGGGAACCGAACCCAUAGUGUUCCGCUUACCGGGCAGAUGCCAUGUCCAUUAAGCUACCCUGUAUGGA